UAUCAAAUUUUACCCAACAACACUGAUAACUUACACACUAACUAAAACAAUGAAACCCUAAAAAUUCAGCGUUCAUCUUCUUCUCGCUCGAACCCUCUCGAUCCCAAGCUAAGGCGCCGUCAGCUUCAUCUUCGCGAUAGAACCCAGCCCUGGUCGUGGUGCUGCUCGCCUCUCUCUGUGUCGCGGUUCUGCUCAGCCUCAUCUUCUCGAACCCAGCCAUGGUCGUGGUACAGCUCACCUCUCUCUGUGUGAGGUGUGGCCACCGCAGCUUUCACCUCCAGAAGAGUCGCUGCUCCGCCUGCGCUUCCCCCACUGCAUGCAAGAUGAAAUUACGAGAAGGUUGAGAAGAUUAGGGAAGGAACCUACGGCGUCGUUUACAAGGCUCGUGACCGCGUUACCAAUGAGACCAUCGCUCUCAAGAAGAUUUGCCUUGACCAGGAGGAUGAAGGCGUUCCUAGCACUGCAUUUCGUGAGAUUUCUCUCCUCAAGGAAAUGCAGCACAGGAAUAUUGUUAGGUCCAUCCUUAUGUUGUCACUGGAAAUAAGAACUCUAAAUUUGGCAUUAGAAAUGAGAAGCUGCAGUGGUUUUUAGAUGCUAUAAAGGAGCAUUCUAAUGAGGUUAAGCUUGUAGGUGUCCACUGCCAUCUUGGGUCAACAAUUACCAAGGUAUAAAAUUAUUGGUUCGUAUACUGGUGUUAAGAUUUGUAGUUGGACCAAGUCACAGCUUCGAGGACGGUGUGGUUGCUACAAGCAUUCAUUAUAUGGUAAAAUGCAAGACAUGGCUUUUAAUAUUUGUCUUUUCGCUGCUGUUGCCGCUGCCACCUCUCUUGGUUUGCUUCUGCUGCAGUACUGCUGCUGUUAGGGCACAGAUUUAGUUUCUGGGUGCUAGGUGACUAUCUUUAUUUUAGUUUAAUUUUAAAAACUCCCACAGCUUCUAUAGAGGCAACUAAGCUAAUGAAUGUUAAGUUGUUAUUACUUAUUUGUUCUGUAAUAGAACCUCUAAAAUAAAAUCACAAGUGAAAUUUGUUUUACUAUAAUUUGUUCUUGUAGUGUACUGUUGACUGAAUAUGUACUGCUGAUUGC